rnacentral:rRNA from 1 species
UACGAAGGGGGCUAGCGUUGCUCGGAAUUACUGGGCGUAAAGCGCACGUAGGCGGAUUGUUAAGUUAGGGGUGAAAUCCCAGGGCUCAACCCUGGAACUGCCUUUAAUACUGGCAAUCUCGAGUCCGAGAGAGGUGAGUGGAAUUCCGAGUGUAGAGGUGAAAUUCGUAGAUAUUCGGAGGAACACCAGUGGCGAAGGCGGCUCACUGGCUCGGUACUGACGCUGAGGUGCGAAAGCGUGGGGAGCAAACAGG